rnacentral:rRNA from 1 species
AAAGCGUGCGCAGGCGGCUUUGCAAGACAGAUGUGAAAUCCCCGGGCUCAACCUGGGAACUGCAUUUGUGACUGCAAGGCUAGAGUACGGUAGAGGGGGAUGGAAUUCCGCGUGUAGCAGUGAAAUGCGUAGAUAUGCGGAGGAACACCAAUGGCGAAGGCAAUCCCCUGGACCUGUACUGACGCUCAUGCACGAAAGCGUGGGGAGCAAACAGGAUUAGAUACCCCAGU